rnacentral:rRNA from 1 species
GACGUAGGGCGCGAGCGUUGUCCGGAUUUAUUGGGCGUAAAGAGCUCGUAGGCGGCUUGUCGCGUCAACUGUGAAAACCCGUGGCUCAACCAUGUGGUCUGCAGUCGAUACGGGCAGGCUAGAAUUCGGUAGGGGAGACUGGAAUUCCUGGUGUAGCGGUGAAAUGCGCAGAUAUCAGGAGGAACACCGGUGGCGAAGGCGGUUCUCUGGGCAUGACCUGACGCUGAGGAGCGAAAGCGUGGGGAGCGAACAGG